rnacentral:rRNA from 1 species
CCUACGGGAGGCAGCAGUGGGGGAUAUUGCACAAUGGGGGGAACCCUGAUGCAGCGACGCCGCGUGGGUGAAGGAGUGCUUCGGCAUGUAAAGCCCUAUCGGCAGGGAAGAAGCAAGACGGUACCUGACUAAGAAGCCCCGGCUAACUACGUGCCAGCAGCCGCGGUAAUACGUAGGGGGCGAGCGUUAUCCGGAUUCACUGGGUGGAAAGGGAGCGUAGACGGCCAUGCAAGCCAGGGGUGAAAGCCCGGGGCCCAACCCCGGGACUGCCCUUGGAACUGCAUAGCUGGAGUGCGGGAGGGGCAGGCGGAAUUCCAGGUGUAGCGGUGAAAUGCGUAGAUAUCAGGAGGAACACCGGCGGCGAAGGCGGCCUGCUGGACCGCGACUGACGUUGAGGCUCGAAAGCGUGGGGAGCGAACAGGAUUAGAUACCCUAGUAGUC